GACAGCAGACAACAAGGUAAGUGUUAGCCCACCCAUUUCCUGCCACUUCCCACUUCCUUCUCUGUUUCUAUGAAACUUUUUUUCACACUCAAGUCAUAGUGACCUCCUUGUCUUGCCCACAGAGAAGUCUUAAAACAUUCCCCCAGCCAGCUGGUUGUCCUCUUUGUGUUCCUAUAGCCCAGUGCUAUGAGAAAUUAGUAUAGGGAGAAUUUCUAGAGGAUAUCACUUCAGGUUUGUCUCCUGGACACAUUAAUUUAAUGCUAUCAAAUCUGAUGGUUUAGCUCACAGUACCAAAUAGCACUGAGAUAA
rnacentral:lncRNA from 1 species